GGCGCUGGCUCCCGACCCCCUUCUCUCUCCAUCUCCAUUCCCGUCCUCUCUCGAUCCAAAUCUCUCCCGUCAAUGGCGCCGUCGCGCCCGCUCAUGCGUGGGAACCGCCCGCCGUGAGUCUUCGCCACCCGCGCCGGCGGCACCUCCCGUAAGCCUUCGCGCUCACUGCCCUGCUCCUCGUCUCCGCCUUCCGUCUCGACCUCAUCACCUUUGGUUCCUCCGCUGCAGCACCGACACCCACCUUGCACCCCACCGCCGCUGCCGUUCCUCCUCCCGAACCCCUAUUUCCCCUCCUCCCACCCUAGAUUUGCUGUGCUGCCACCCCCCCCCCCCCCCGCCCCCUCCUCCUCCUCCGGCGAGCACCUCGCCGGAGCAGGGCCACAACCACUAGCACCUCACCACUCCCAGCCCUACCUCCUCCUCCCGCUCAGAUCCACCUAGAACUUGAAGAUGCCCGAUGCAGAUCCAUGGCCAGCGGUGGCCAGCCUAGGCGUGCUCUCCUCCCGUCGUGGCUGCAACGGCGAUGCCACUCUUCGUGCUGCUGGGCGUCCGCGGCUUCUACUUGCAGGUGACGCCCUCGUUAAGCCUGCCCUGCCAUGGAAUCUGCCCUCACUCGGAAACUUCACUUUACCCCUUUCCCUUCCAGGUGAGCCUGCCCUGCCAUGGAGUCUGCUCUUCAGUUUAUUGUGCUCGCAUGGUGUUUGCCAGAUUGUCUGAGCGAGUAUUUUUCACUUGCUGUCUAUUGGAUUUUUCCAGAUUAUAGAUUUGAAAGAUUACUAGCUGAAUUUGAGAAAUCCAUGUCAAUGGAACUUGCAAUUGACAACCAGAGAGGUUUUGACGAUGGAAUUUUGUUAUGGGCACAAGGUUAAUGACUUGGACUUCCAGAGGAGAGCAAAUAUUAGUCCUACAAAGGUAGCUAAGGCUUUAAUUGAACUGUUUGGUGAAAUGGUAUUCGUACAUGGUUUUGUCCAUGUUGAUCCACAUCCAUGAAACAUAUUAGUUUCUCCUCAAGGCAAUGGAAAAUUUUCACUAGCUCUUCAGGAAUGAACGUGUGGAAGUCCCAUCAAAUUUUAAUUGAGAUUAAGAAUGGGAAACUGGAGAUAUCAAUUGAUUUUAGUUUCUGUCCAUGAUCUCUGAUGGAUAAUUUUAGUGGUUGAGGUUUAAGUAGUUACUGUUCUUGUGGUUGAGAUUCAACAUUAUUGAUCCUUUCUACAUGCAAUGUGAUUGAACUUGUGCAUCUCAGUUAUCUGUCUUUUACCUAUUUCCACUUGGUAAAACAGUUUGUGGAACUUAAUUAGUUGUGAUGGCAAGCAGUGAAGGAAGUCCAAGUUAUGCAGUUUUUUUCUCCUUCCUUUUUCAGCUGCAUUUUUAGGAAGGUUGGAACACCUAUAGAAUUAUGUAAUGGAUAAAACAUGUGUAUCUCUUAUGUAUUUAAGGUGUAUUUUAAAUCCUC